rnacentral:lncRNA from 1 species
UAGUAUCAUUGAAUAUGUUUUUUUCAGAACCAUAUAAAUAUGUCUGUAACAUUAAUACUUCCUUUUGAGACAAAUAUAAAUUCAAAAGAGAUUUUAUUUAGAGAAACUGUUCUAACUAAAAUUAUUUUCCUUCACGCUAAGUGUAUAUUUAGAUUCAUAAUUGUUGAGAGAAAAGAAUUCACUGUAAAAUAAUGCCAACCUAUAUAAUGCUAUAAUAAAUUAUUUUGUACUUAAAAAAAAAAAUCACUGUGAUGUCAUACUGAAACAGUAGUUCCUUGAUAGCAUCAGAUCAUAUUUUCUUGUUU